CAGGCACAUCAUGCGCCCAACAUAAGUACUUCUCUUGGGAUUCACAAUCAACCUACCUUUCAUUUCGCUACUUCUGCCCCAGGGUGGCCCCAGGCACCAGGCACUGCCAGCGCCCAACAUUUGCUCCUAGAAUUGACUAUCAGCACAUCUUUCAUUCUGCUGCUUCUAUGCCAGUUACGCCCGCUAUACAACAGUCUGAGGUGCCUACCAUCAUCAACAACAUAUGUACUGCAGAUUCUUCUGUAUUUGCAGAACAUAAUUAUAGUGUGAUGAGUCGUUCGAAAAGAAAGACAUUAGAUGA